rnacentral:rRNA from 1 species
UGAGGAACAUGACCUUCGGCGGGGGGAUAGCCGGCCCAACGGCCGGGUAAUACCGCGUACGACCUUCCGGGGACAUCCCUGGAUGGUGAAAGCAGCAAUGCGCCGAUGGAGUGCCUCGCGGCCUAUCAGCUAGUUGGUGAGGUAACGGCUCACCAAGGCAACGAUGCGUAGCCGACCUGAGGAGGGUGAUCGGCCACAUUGGAACUGAGACACGGUCCAGACCUCCGUACGGGAGCAG